rnacentral:rRNA from 1 species
AUUGAACGCUGGCGGCAUGCUUUACACAUGCAAGUCGAACGGCAGCGCGGGCUUCGGCCUGGCGGCGAGUGGCGAACGGGUGAGUAAUGCAUCGGAACGUGCCCAGUAGUGGGGGAUAGCCCGGCGAAAGCCGGAUUAAUACCGCAUACGACCUGAGGGUGAAAGCGGGGGACCGAAAGGCCUCGCGCUAUUGGAGCGGCCGAUGUCGGAUUAGCUAGUUGGUGGGGUAAAGGCUUACCAAGGCGACGAUCCGUAGCUGGUCUGAGCGGACGACCAGCCACACUGGGACUGAGACACGGCCCAGACUCCUACGGGAGGCAGCAGUGGGGAAUUUUGGACAAUGGGGGCAACCCUGAUCCAGCCAUGCCGCGUGCGGGAAGAAGGCCUUCGGGUUGUAAACCGCUUUUGUUCGGGAAGAAAUCCUCUGGGCUAAUACCCCGGGGGGAUGACGGUACCGGAAGAAUAAGCACCGGCUAACUACGUG